rnacentral:rRNA from 1 species
UACGUAGGGUGCGAGCGUUGUCCGGAUUUAUUGGGCGUAAAGAGCUCGUAGGCGGUUUGUCGCGUCGGCCGUGAAAUCUCCACGCUUAACGUGGAGCGUGCGGUCGAUACGGGCAGACUUGAGUUCGGUAGGGGAGACUGGAAUUCCUGGUGUAGCGGUGAAAUGCGCAGAUAUCAGGAGGAACACCGGUGGCGAAGGCGGGUCUCUGGGCAGUAACUGACGCUGGAGGAGCGAAAGCCGUGGGGAGCAAACAGG